rnacentral:rRNA from 1 species
UACGGAGGGAGCUAGCGUUGUUCGGAAUUACUGGGCGUAAAGCGCACGUAGGCGGUUUGUUAAGUCGGAUGUGAAAUCCCUCGGCUCAACUGAGGAAGUGCAUCCGAAACUGGCAGGCUUGAGUACUAAAGAGGGUCGCGGAAUUCCCGGUGUAGAGGUGAAAUUCGUAGAUAUCGGGAGGAACACCAGUGGCGAAGGCGGCGAUCUGGGAAGAUACUGACGCUGAGGUGCGAAAGCGUGGGGAGCAAACAGG